rnacentral:lncRNA from 1 species
GUACCCGAGGCGAUGCCGGAGCCGCUAACCGCCCUGCUCUCCUGCGGGUGAUGUCUGGGGCUUUCUUCUUGGGCCCGCAGGUGCUUCCGGAGUUGGGGGCAAGGUGCACCCUCCAGCAAGGCCUGGCCUUGCUAGGAGCUCUGGACCGCCGCGAAUCCCCUCACCCACUCCAGGCCUGAGCCUGGAGGGAGGCAGGAUUUCCUCUGGGCUGCCUUUGAGGCGUUUACCCGCCUGGCAGCGUUAGAUUUGCAUAACCAGAUACGAAUUCCAGUGGAGAUGCAGUGGGUGUGUCUGCAUUUCCGAUUACACCAUCAUUUUAAAAGCUGUGAUGUUCGAAGCAGAUUUGGAGUUUUAAAAGCAGUUUUUACUGUCAUUAUUUUGCUGUGUCUUAAUUUGGAAGAUGGAACAACAGCCCAGACUGAGGGUAAUAUGAAGGGUGUUGAGAAUUUGACAGCAUCACCAUAUGUGCUUCAAAUGAUACCACAUUCCUGAUUUUCAGUAACCAGGUAAGUGUUUUUCUUGCCUGUGCCGAAUUUGCAAUUAGGAAAUUCUGUUCCUAAUUGAACACCAAAACUUAUCAUCUCAUGGUGAAUAUAGAGAAACUCUGCUUAAAGCUGGUGAACUUCUCUUUAUGAGCAGAAGGAUUUAAUGUGACUAAACUUUCCAGCAGACACUCUGGGGAAUUGAGCUUAUUAUAUUUUGUUUUGGUUUAGCUUUUUUUUUUUUUUUCUUUUUUGGGCCACACCUGCGGCAUAUGGGGGUUCCCUGGCUAGGGGUCCAAUAGGAGCUACAGCUGCUGGCCUACAGCACGGCCGUAGCAAUGCCAGAUCUGAGCUGUGUCUGCAACCUGCACCACAGCUCAUUGCAACGCUGGAUCCGUAACUGAGCAAGGCCAGGGAUUGAACCCUCAACAUCAUGGGUCCUAGUUGGAUUCGUUUCCCCUGCACCAUGAAGGGAACUCCCCUUCUGGUUUAGCUUUUUUUUUUUGCUACUUCUUUGGGCUGCUCCCUCGGCAUAUGGAGGUUCCCAGUCUAGGGGUCGAAUCG